rnacentral:rRNA from 1 species
GUGCAGCAGUCGAGAAACCUCCGCAAUACACGAAAGUGUGACGGGGCCAUCCCGAGUGCCGUCCGCUGAGGACGGCUUUUCCCCAGUGUACACAGCUGGGGGAAUAAGGAGAGGGCAAGCCUGGUGUCAGCCGCCGCGGUAAUACCAGCUCUCCGAGUGGUGGGGACGCUUAUUGGGCCUAAAACAUCCGUAGCCGGCUGGGCAAGUCCUCUGUUAAAUCCAACGAUUCAAUCGUUGGGCUGCGGGGGAUACUGUCCAGCUUGGGGGGGGAGAGGCCGACGGUAUUCCCGGGGUAGGGGUGAAAUCCUAUAAUCCCGGGAGGACCACCAGUGGCGAAGGCUGUCGGCUAGAACGCGCCCGACGGUGAGGGAUGAAAGCUGGGGGAGCGAACCGGAUUAGAUACCCCUGUAGU